UACGGGGGGGCAAGGCGUUGUUCGGAAUUACUGGGCGUAAAGGGCUCGUAGGCGGCCAACUAAGUCAGACGUGAAAUCCCAGGCUUAACCUGGGAACUGCGUCUGAUACUGGAUGCUUGAAUUCGGGAGAGGGAUGCAGAAUCCGAGGUAUAGCGGUGAAAUGCGUAGAUAUCUGGAGGAAUACCGGUGGCGAAGGCGGCAUCCUGGACCGAGAUUGACGCUGAUGAGCGAAAGCUAGGGGAGCAAACGGG
rnacentral:rRNA from 1 species